AUUGAACGCUGGCGGCAUGCCUUACACAUGCAAGUCGAACGGUAACAGGUCUUUCGGGAUGCUGACGAGUGGCGAACGGGUGAGUAAUACAUCGGAACGUGCCUAGUAGUGGGGGAUAACUACUCGAAAGAGUGGCUAAUACCGCAUGAGAUCUAUGGAUGAAAGCAGGGGACCUUUGGGCCUUGUGCUACUAGAGCGGCCGAUGGCAGAUUAGGUAGUUGGUGGGAUAAAAGCUUACCAAGCCUACGAUCUGUAGCUGGUCUGAGAGGACGAUCAGCCACACUGGGACUGAGACACGGCACAGACUCCUACGGGAGGCAGCAGUGGGGAAUUUUGGACAAUGGGCGCAAGCCUGAUCCAGCAAUGCCGCGUGCAGGAUGAAGGACUUCGGGUUGUAAACUGCUUUUGUACGGAACGAAAAGUCUUGGGUUAAUACCCUGGGAUCAUGACGGUACCGUAAGAAUAAGCACCGGCUAACUACGUG
rnacentral:rRNA from 1 species